GAUGAACGCUGGCGGCGUGCUUAACACAUGCAAGUCGAACGGAGUUUUAGUAAUUGAUUGAUUUAGCUUGCUAUUGAGAGAUUUUACUAAAACUUAGUGGCGGACGGGUGAGUAACGCGUGGGUAACCUGCCCUAUACAGGGGGACAACAGUUGGAAACGACUGCUAAUACCGCAUAAGCGCACAGCAUCGCAUGAUGCAGUGUGAAAAACUGAGGUGGUAUAGGAUGGACCCGCGUCUGAUUAGCUAGUUGGUGAGGUAACGGCCCACCAAGGCGACGAUCAGUAGCCGGCCUGAGGGGGUGAACGGCCACAUUGGGACUGAGACACGGCCCAAACUCCUACGGGAGGCAGCAGUGGGGAAUAUUGCACAAUGGGGGAAACCCUGAUGCAGCGACGCCGCGUGAGUGAAGAAGUAUUUCGGUAUGUAAAGCUCUAUCAGCAGGGAAGAAAAUGACGGUACCUGACUAAGAAGCUCCGGCUAAAUACGUGCCAG
rnacentral:rRNA from 1 species